rnacentral:rRNA from 1 species
CGUGGGUAACCUGCCCAAGAGAUCGGGAUAACACCUGGAAACAGAUGCUAAUACCGGAUAACAACAGAUGAUGCCUAUCAACUGUUUAAAAGAUGGUUCUGCUAUCACUCUUGGAUGGACCUGCGGUGCAUUAGCUAGUUGGUAGGGUAACGGCCUACCAAGGCGAUGAUACAUAGCCGAGUUGAGAGACUGAUCGGCCACAUUGGGACUGAGACACGGCCCAAACUCCUACGGGAGGCAGCAGCC